rnacentral:rRNA from 1 species
GAUGAACGCUAGCGGCAGGCUUAAUACAUGCAAGUCGAGGGGCAGCACAGGUAGCAAUACUGGGUGGCGACCGGCAAACGGGUGCGGAACACGUACACAACUUACCUUAGAGUGGGGGAUAGCCCAGGGAAACUUGGAUUAAUACCCCAUAAAACAGGGGGACCGCAUGGGCAUAUUGUUAAAGAUUUAUCGGUUUAAGAUGGGUGUGCGUGUGAUUAGGUAGUUGGUAGGGUAAAGGCCUAUCAAGCCGACGAUCAUUAACUGGUAUGAGAGAACGACCAGUCACACGUGCACUGAGACACGGGCCCGACUCCUACGGGAGGCAGCAGUAAGGAAUAGUGGUCAAUGGACGGAAGUCUGAACCAGCCAUACCGCGUGAAGGAUGAAGGUCCUCUGGAUUGUAAACUUCUUGUAUAAGGGGCGAAAAAGGGCCAUUCUUGGUCAACUGACGGUACCCUAUGAAUAAGCACCGGCUAACUCCGUGCCAGCCGCCGCGGUAAAAC